rnacentral:hammerhead_ribozyme from 1 species
GCACUGCUGAGGAGUCCCACAAUAGGACGAAACGGCUUUACAGUAC